CAGUCGCCGCGGGAAUACGAAGGGUGCAAGCGUUAAUCGGAAUUACUGGGCGUAAAGCGCGCGUAGGUGGUUCAUUAAGUUGGAUGUGAAAGCCCUGGGCUCAACCUGGGAAUUGCAGUGGAUACUGGGUCACUAGAGUGUGGUAGAGGAUAGUGGAAUUUCCGGUGUAGCAGUGAAAUGCGUAGAGAUCGGAAGGAACAUCUGUGGCGAAGGCGACUAUCUGGGCCAACACUGACACUGAGGCACGAAAGCGUGGGGAGCAAACAGGAUUAGAUACCCCAGUAGUCCCUGUCUCUUAUAC
rnacentral:rRNA from 1 species